GUGCACCAGGCGCGAAACCUCCGCAAUGCGGGCAACCGCGACGGGGGACCCCAGUGCCGUGGCAUCGCCACGGCUUUUCCGGAGUGUAAAAAGCUCCGGGAAUAAGGGCUGGGCAAGACGGGUGCCAUCUGCAGUGGUAAUGAAAACUUGCUACUGCAAGGCAUAAGCCGCCGCGGUAAUACCCGCAGCCCGAGUGGUAGUCGCUUUUAUUGGGCCUAAAGCGUCCGUAGCCGGUCUGGUAAAUGCCUGGGUAAAUCGUGGGGCCUAACCUCACGAAUUCCGGGUAGACUGCCAGACUUGGGACCGGUUGAGGGAGAGGGUACUCCAGGGGUAGGGGUGAAAUCCUGUAAUCCUUGGAGGACCACCGGUGGCGAAAGCGCUCUCCUAGGACGGGUCCGACGGUGAGGGGACGAAAGCCAGGGGGAGCAAACCGGGAUUAGAUACCCCUGUAGU
rnacentral:rRNA from 1 species